rnacentral:miRNA from 9 species
AGUGCCUUGUGUGAUAUUCUUG